rnacentral:rRNA from 1 species
UACGAAGGGUGCAAGCGUUAAUCGGAAUUACUGGGCGUAAAGCGUGCGCAGGCGGCUUCUCAAGUCAGGGGUGAAAGCCCAGAGCUCAACUCUGGAAUUGCCUUUGAGACUGAGUGGCUUGAGUACGAGAGAGGUGAGUGGAAUUCCCAGUGUAGAGGUGAAAUUCGUAGAUAUUGGGAAGAACACCGGUGGCGAAGGCGGCUCACUGGCUCGUAACUGACGCUCAUGCACGACAGCGUGGGGAUCAAACAGG